rnacentral:rRNA from 1 species
GAUGAACGCUAGCUACAGGCUUAACACAUGCAAGUCGAGGGGAAACGCCAUCGAAAGCUUGCUUUUGAUGGGCGUAGACCGGCGCACGGGUGAGUAACGCGUAUUCAACCUGCCGACCACUCGGGGAUAACCUCGAGAAAGUAAGACUAAUACCCAUUGAUAUAUCUAGAAGACAUCUGAAAGGGAUUAAAGAGUUAUCGGUGAUGGAUGGGGAUGCGUCUGAUUAGCUUGUUGGCGGGGAAACGGCCCACCAAGGCGACGAUCAGUAGGGGGUCUGAGAGGAAGGUCCCCCACAUUGGAACUGAGACACGGUCCGAACUCCUACGGGAGGCAGCAGUGAGGAAUAUUGGUCAAUGGACGAGAGUCUGAACCAGCCAAGUAGCGUGCAGGAUGACGGCCCUAUGGGUUGUAAACUGCUUUUAUAAGGGAAUAAAGUGAGUCUCGUGAGACUUUGUGCAUGUACCUUAUGAAUAAGGACCGGCUAAUUCCGUGCCAGCCGCCGCGGUAA